rnacentral:lncRNA from 1 species
AGUGGAUGUCGUUUUUUUUCUAAAGAAUUGCUUUGGGCGGAGUUGAACCGUCCCUGGAUUGGGACUUCUGAGAUCUGAGAUUUUAUCCUGGCCCUGCCCCCUUACCAUCUCUGCAGCAGUGACUUCCAGCUUCGUGGGCCUCAGUUUCUCUAUUGUAAAAUGAAGGAGCAGUGUAUGACAGCAGUUUCAAACUUCAGUGUACAUUCGAUUCAAUACUUACUGACCUCGUACUGUGGGGGCCUUGCAGGGUUCUAGGAAACGGGUUUGGUAUAAACUAGGCUAACAAAGUCCCUAUCCUCAUGGAAUUUAUUCUAAGGUGGGGAAAGAGACAAUAAACAAGUAAUAAAUUAUUGUCUAGUAUCUAUGAAGACAAUAGUUAAACUGUGGUAAUCAGUUAGACUAGAUGGGCUACUUUUGUUUGGGUGAUAAGGGAAGACUUCUUUGAACGCAGAUGCCAAAGUAUUAGGAAUCAGGCUCGGUCUGGGACUGGACCCAGAAAUCUGCGUGUCUAGCAAGAUCCCUUUGGUGCUUAUGACUUCACUUGGAGAAGUCCUGGCUUCUGACUGGCUGUGAUCCCACGUGCUCACAUAACAUAACAGCCUGGAAUGUUGGCCAUCUCCAAAACAAGAAUUAGAGCACACGACCUGCUGGAUCUAGGAGAAGACUGAAUGAAAAGCCUCUUGGAACUGCCCCAGCCAGCAAAGCUGAGCUGUAGGAUUGUUGUAACCAGUAUGGGGGAGAAGUACUGGUAGGGAUAGCCAGAUGAAGAAACCAAAGUUCAGAAAAGUGAAGUCCAAGGCCGGGCACAGUGGCUCAAACCUGUAAUCCCGGCACUUUGGGAGGCUGAGGCAGGCAGAUCACCUGAGGUCAUGAGUUCAAGACCAGCCUGGCCAACAUGGCGAAACACUGUCUGUACUAAAAAUACAAAAAUUAGCUGGGCAUGGUGGCGCACACCUGUAAUCCAAGCUACUCAGGAGGCUGAGGCAUGAAAAUUGCUUGAACCCAGGUGGCGGAGGUUGCAGUAAGCCGAGAUCACCCCACUGCACUCCAUCCUAGGUGACAGAGCAAAACUCCAUCUCAAAAAAAGAAAAGAAAAGAAAAAGGAAGAAAAAGAAAAGUAAAGUUCCUUAUCCAAAGUCACACAGCAGAGCCAGACAGAGCUAGGUCUCAUACCUGAAUCUCUUUAUCCUAAAUCCAGUAGUUUUUUCUACAUUAAAAUAAUGAAACUGGGGCUGGGCAUAGUGACUCACACCUGUAAUCCUAACACUUUGAAAGGCCAAAGCAGGAGGAUCACUUGAACCUAGGAGUUAGAGAUCAGCCUGGACAACACAGUGAGACCCUGUCUCUAUUUUUUUUAAGUUUUAAUAAAAAAAUGAUGGAAUUGGGAUUUGAAUUCAGGUUUUUUUGAUUCCUAACCAACUAUGGUAUUUUAUAUGCAUAUAUUUCUAAAUACAGUCAUCCUCCCUUAUCCCAGUGCAUGCCUGAAACCCCAAAUAGUACCAAACUCUAUAUAUACUAUGUUUUUCCUAUAUAUACUUACCUAUAAUAAAGUUUAAUAUAUAAAUUAGGCACAGUAAGAGAUAAACAACAAUAAAUAAUAAAAUAGAACAAUUAUAACCAUAGACAGUAAUAAAAUUUAUGUGACUGUGCUCUUUCUCUCUCAAAACAUCUUAUUGUAUGUAAUAUUUUCUGACCACAGUUGGCCACAGGUAACUGAAACAUCAGGAAGCAAAACCACAGAUAAGAGGGGACUAGUAAUGACCAAAUAGUCAGUAAUGACCAUUUAGUAAUGACCAAAUAGUCAGGAGUAAUGACCAAAUAGUCAGGAGUAGCUACUUUUAUUGGGUAACUAGUGUACGCUAGGUUCUAUGGGAAAUACUUGAUAUUCAUUAUCUCAUUUAAUCUUCAUAAUAACCCAGUGGGAUAGUUAUUAUUUCCUUAAAUGUCUACUGAGCCCCUACUAUGUGCCAGGCACUACAGGCUAGGUCCUGGAAUGGUUAUUGUCUUCAAAUUACAAAGGAAGGCAAUUGAAAUUCAGAAAAGAAAGUAAGGUGGGUACUCAGCAUCAUAGGCAGCAGCUAACUAUCAGAGUGGGGUUUUUCAGGGUGUUCUAUAUCGCCAGGCCUUAUUCUUACUCACUGCACCACUCUGUACAGCCUACUUCUCUUCCCUCCAUUGCCAUAUCCAUAAGUAUUUAUGGAGAAUCCCUCAAAUACUUAGGCCUCAGGAAGAUACCAAACAAGUUGAAUCCUAUCUUUCUAAAGGGUAAACUCUAAUUAGAGGAACCAAAUAAUUGAGCAAUAUUUAACCUGUGGCCAAAAAAAAAGAGAGGCCAAAAAAAGAGACAAAAUAUGCUUUAGGCAGAAAGUGACAAGGAUCAGGCUAACUUGUGCCUAGAGUUUAAACACAUCAUGUGCUUAAACACUAGGCCAGGUGCUAUGGCUCACACCUGUAAUCCCGGCACUUUGGGAGGCCAAGGUGGGAGAAUUGCUUGAGCCCGGGAAUUUGAGACCCACCUGGGCAACACAGUGAGACCCUGUCUCUACAAAUAAAUAAAUAAAUAAAUUAGCCAGGUGUGGUGGCACAUUCCUGUAGUCCCAGCUACUCAGGAGGCUGAGGUGGAAGGAUUGCUUGAGCCUGGGAGGUGGAGGCUGCAGUGAGCUGUGAUUGCAUCACUGCACCCUAGCCUGGGCAACAAAGUGAGACGAGACCUUGUCUCAAAAAAUAAAACUCACCAAAUUAAUAAAAUGGGUCCAAAUACCUAUUUGGGCUGGGCAUGGUGGCUCACACCUGUAAUCCCAACACUUUGGGAGGCCGAGGCAUGUGGACCUCUUGAGCCCAGGAGUUCAAGAUCAGUCUGGGCAACAUGACAAAACACCAUCUCUACAAAAUAAUACAAAGCAUUAUCCGGGCAUGGUGGCACACACCUGUAGUCCCAGCUGCUGGGGAGGUUGAGGUGGGAAGAUCACCUGAGAGUGGGAAGUUGAGACUGCAGUGAGCCAUGAUUGCACCACUGCACCCCAGCCUGGGGAACAGAGUGAGACCCUCACCUGAGAGUGGGAAGUUGAGACUGCAGUGAGCCAUGAUUGCACCACUGCACCCCAGCCUGGGGAAUAGAGUGAGACCCCGUCUCAAAAACAAAACAAAACAAAACAAAAACCUAUUUGUAAUUAAUUAUGUGCUUGUUUGCUCCUUGUGCUGACAACUUCCUAAAGAGAGACACAGCAGGCUGCAUGAGAGACUAGAGAGCUGGGAGAAUUGGUUUAUAACCUGGGUCCCAUCUCCGAGUUUGCUGAAUGACUUUGGGCAGCCUCCUGAGCCUUCCAUCCAUGAAACAGGAAGCAUACCUGCCCAUCUGGCUUACAGGCAGGAAGAAAAUACAAAGUUUACAUGAAAUUUUAUUCUAUUGGAGGGGGAGCAGUGAAUAGGUAAAGGAAGGAGGAAUGGUUCCUUGAGUUAUCUGUGCUUAUUAUGAAGGAAAAUUUAAUAUGCCUGGAUAUGUGCUAGUUUUAUUCCUCCUUGGAUUGGGUUUUCCAAAGAGCCUUGUGUUCCUGGAAGAGCUUGCACUAAUCACUUACUUCUGCUAUGGGGCCCCUUGGGUAUGAAGACUCUUAUACUGACACAAAGUGAGUGGGGUUAGCAAAGGGAGGGGCCUUGGCCAAAAAAAACAGUGCCAGCUGAGGAGUGUUUUUCAAGACCCUGAAGACUCUUGGGCCUUCUGGCACAUGUCACGUAAUUAUUUCAGUUCUUGGGAAGAGGCUCAGCCAGGAUCUCCUCCUGUGAAGGAGAUGUAAAUGGCAAUAGCUAACAUACAAGGAGGAGGUGGGGUGGGGACUGACUGUUUCCACAAUUCCUCGUUUAACCCCCAGGCCGAUCCUUUUCCAUGACUAUCCCCACUUUACAGAUGAGAAAGGAGGCUCAGAGGAAGAGGGGUGGUCAAGGAGGAGGACGGUUUGCAGUGAAGAAGGUCUGAUAAAUAACUUUUAACACACUCACCCCUCUGAGUCGGAAACAAGCACCAUCCCAGCCUCUUCUCAUCAGUUCUACCUAUGCAGCCUCUUCUCCCAUCCCCACUACCCUCCCUGGAGUUUUGUACUUCCCAAGUUGUCCCGUGAUGGGCUUCCUCACUAACUGUACUCCCACUGUGAUCCAGUCUACCACACUUGCCUGUGUCAGCUCUCUGGCUCUAUGAUGGACUCAGGCCCUGCCUCUACUUUGAAUCUCCACAUUCACACCCAGCACAGCCUGACCCUAACUAACCUUCCUGUCUUACUGCCUUCCAGCACAGACCCUACACUCCAGCAACAGUGGACCAAUCACUUCUUUAACUCAGUAAAUAUGUAUUGAGCAUCUGCAAUGCACCAGAUACUGCUAGGCCCUAGACAUAGAAAAGUGAGCAAAACAGACAUGUUCCCUACUUCCCAGAAGUUUCCCA